rnacentral:tRNA from 1 species
GGUUGGCUGGCUCAUUUGGAAAAGCAUGUGACUCUUGAUCAUGGGGUUGUGAGUUCAAGCCCCACGUUGGCUG